AACAGACUCCUCAGAUAAUCUACUAUUUAAGGAAAGUGGUGUCAGGAAACCAUUAUCACCGGCAAACUUCUGCACGAUAGAGCUAGAUCAAUGAGUAAAAGCGGCGAAAUCCUUCUCUUCCGAAUUAUCAUGGGUUUGUAUGUGAAGAUCUUUGGGUGAUUUAACAAAUAGAUGUCAAAAAUUCUCACUAACACCAUAAAAUCAACUCCAACAAAGACUUCUUCAAUUCAAAGGAUGAUUGACUGAGUAGACCUGCGAAAGAAAGGUAAUACCAAAUAUAUUUGUGUUACUGUCUGGAUUUGGAAGAUAACCCAUGCCACUACUUGUCUUCCCCAUUAGAUUAAACUAACAAGGAACUAAUACCACUGCUCGAGGAAGAUUUUGUAGUAGCUUAAUCAUCUUCCUAAUUAUUGUGGAAAUCCAAGCAGGUAAAGUGCCAAAAUCGCCCAAAUCCGUGAACUGGCGAUAUUGAUCCGAUGUUUGUCUUGACUGUUUCUUAUGUGAUAUUGUAAAGAUCAUUACCCCAUGUAUUCUCUGUUGCUUAUUGUUGUGACUGCAAUGGGAUUGCUAUAGACAUCACUGAACUUUUGAAAUUUUUGUUUUGGUCUUUCUUACUCUAAUUUU
rnacentral:lncRNA from 1 species